GCCGCUGGAUGUCGCUGUGUUGUGGCUCGGUAGAAUUGCGACAGUUGGAGGCACUUGACGACUGUGCUGAUGACGCGAGGGAUGACGUUCCACCAACAUGGCGGCUACCCGGUCCGGCAACUUGUGACACGGCAAGUCCGGCUAAAAAGACGCCAUUUGGGCAACAGCGGCGGGCGGCAACGACGACGAGGCGGCGAGGGCCCUACCGAUGGUGAAGACGAUGAAGACGAUGACGACCACGCCCAGCAGCAUGGCCAGGAGGCUGAGCAGCAGAGACAGGCGGCCGUACUUGCGCGCCGCCUCCACGUCGCCGUUGUUCAGCACCGAGCGAGACUGGCGAGAGGGGGGGGCCACAAGCCACAGGUCAGAUGUCAGCCACGCACGCUCUCCUCAAGUGCCGCCGCUCGCCAGUUGACCACAAGGAGGCGCUGCCGUGCCAUUUCACGUGAAAUAUGUGUCCCAUGAAAUUUCACCUGCAAAAUUUUGCUCGCGCACCGGGAGGGCCAAAGGAAGCGCCUCCUCCGGUUCUGGAGACCACCUCGGAAGUCUGAGUUACAAGCUUGGGACCCGUGGGACAAAAUGACCCGCGGCGCAAACGCGUCGGCGGCGGGAACUCACCACGCUGGCGUACCACAAGGCGCACACGUUGAGCGGCACGCCGGGGCAGAGGCAGGAGAGGACGGCCAGCCACAGGUAGCUGGGCGGCGCCGGGCCGGGCGGCGCGCCGCCACCCUGCGGCCCGCCGGACGCCAGGCUGAGGCGGGACGACGACACGGGCGCGGCCGCCAGCUGGCCCGCCGAGCCGGACUUGAGCGGCGAGCGGCGGCCGUUCUGCUCGGAGUCCAGCGAGCGGAUGCUGCCGCGCCGGUCCGGCGAGCGGCACGGCCCGCCGCCGCCGGCGGCGGGCGGGGCGGCGGCCAGCAGCUUCUCCGUGUCGCGGAAGUCUCCGUUGCUCGACGGGUCCCUCUGGACCGACGCCGUGCCGCUCUCGCCGUUGACGGCCAUGUUCGCGGCCGAAAGGGAAGUGGAGGAGGAGAAGAGCGCAAAGCGGGGGCCGGGGGGUCUUCCCGGACGUCUCGCGGAAGGUCCCGUCGCUGGCCGGGCGGCAAACCUCAGAGGCUCUCCAUUGGCGCGCUGGCCCGUGAGCUUGUGAUGCUCUCGUCCGGGUCCGCGCCCACAGCACACAACACUUAAGGAGCGCGUGCGUAAAAGCUUUCCACUUAGGCCGCGCGCGCUUGGCUGCUGACUCAGAAGCGUGCGUGGGUGCGCGCGUGCGUGCCCCCCCCUCCCCGCGUCCAGCCCAAAAGUGCAGAGCUCAGUCCAACCGACACGGCGCUUAAUGGAGCCUUCCCCUCCGACGCCAAGGAAAGCCCUUCCGGGUCGGAGCGCGCGCUCCGCCGCCAGGGAGGCAACCGCUAGAAUGUUCCAACCGCAAGUGCGAGCGCCCGCUCGUCGCAAGUCGCAGCGGGCCACGCUUGCGACGACCACUUGGAGCUUUGAACCGUCCCCUUUUCUUCGCAUUCCCUCCGGCGGGAACGCUCGGAUCCGACUUUGGGACUCCAGAACGUCAUGGUGGUGGCGCGUGUUGGCUGUGACGUCACGCCCGUCAUCGAGUGAAAAUUUCUAAUGGCUAUUAAUGCCUGCGUUCAUCAAUUAUUGAAUUGAUUAUAAUGGUCAUAAUCGUAGCAACCAGGAAACGGGCUCCCCCCCCCAAUAAAUGACUUCAGUCGUCGGUGUCUCAUAUUAUGCGUCAUAUUCAUCUAUCAAAGCAUCUUUCAUAUUCACCAUGCGUCAUUCUGCGCUGGCAAACAAAAAACAA